GACGUAGGGCGCGAGCGUUGUCCGGAUUUAUUGGGCGUAAAGAGCUCGUAGGCGGUUCGAUAAGUCGGACGUGAAAUCUCCACGCUCAACGUGGAGGGGCCGUUCGAUACUGUCGUGACUCGAGUCCGGUAGGGGAGACUGGAAUUCCUGGUGUAGCGGUGAAAUGCGUAGAGAUCGGGAGGAACACCAGUGGCGAAGGCGGCUCGCUGGGCCGGACCUGACGCUGAGACGCGAAGGCGUGGGGAGCGAACGGG
rnacentral:rRNA from 1 species